rnacentral:rRNA from 1 species
AUUGAACGCUGGCGGCAGGCCUAACACAUGCAAGUCGAGCGGAUGAAGGGAGCUUGCUCCUGGAUUCAGCGGCGGACGGGUGAGUAAUGCCUAGGAAUCUGCCUGGUAGUGGGGGAUAACGUCUGGAAACGGGCGGUAAUACCGCAUACGUCCUGAGGGAGAAAGUGGGGGAUCUUCGGACCUCACGCUAUCAGAUGAGCCUAGGUCGGAGUAGCUAGUUGGUGGGGUAAAGGCCUACCAAGGCGGCGAUCCGUAACUGGUCUGAGAGGAGGAUCAGUCACACGGGAACUGAGACACGGUCCAGAGGCCUACGGUAGGGAGCAGUGGGGAAUAUUGGACAAUGGGCGGAAGCCUUAUCCAGCCAUGCCGCGUGUGUUAAGAAGGUCUUCGGAGUGUAAAGCAGUUUAAGUUGGGGGGAAGGGCAGUAAGUUAAUACCUUGCUGUUUUGACGGUACCAACAGAAUAAGCACCGGCUAACUUCAUG